AUUGAACGCUGGCGGCAGGCCUAACACAUGCAAGUCGAACGAGUGGCGGACGGGUUAGUAAUGUAUGGGAAACUGCCCGAUGGAGGGGGAUAACUACUGUAAACGGUAGCUAAUACCGCAUACCAUCGGAUGUGCCCAGAUGGGAUGAGCGAGUGGGUGGGGUAACGGCUCACCAAGGCGACGAUCCCUAGCGGGUCUGAGAGGAUGACCAGCCACACUGGAACUGAGACACGGUCCAGACUCCUACGGGAGGCAGCAGUGGGGAAUAUUGCACAAUGGGCGCAAGCCUGAUGCAGCCAUGCCGCGUGUAUGAAGAAGGCCUUCGGGUUGUAAAGUACUUUCAGCGGGGAGGCGUUACUCGCAGAAGAAGCACCGGCUAACUCCGUGCCAGCAGCCGCGGUAAUUC
rnacentral:rRNA from 1 species